AUUGAUCGGGCUGGUGCGAUCCCUGCUCGAUGAAAUCAAGGCAAUUGAGCUGGAGCUCUUGGGCUACUAGGC
rnacentral:ribozyme from 1 species